UUAGUGGCGCACGGGUGAGUAACACGUGGUUGACCUACCCCAAAGUAAGGGAUAACGGUCCGAAAGGACUGCUAAUACCUUAUAAGCUCCCGGUGUUUAGAAAACUGGGAGAAAAGUUCCGGCGCUUUGGGCGGGGACUGCGGACCAUCAGCUAGUUGGUGUGGUAACGGCACACCAAGGCGACGACGGAUAGGGGACCCGAGAGGGUGGCCCCCCACACUGGAACUGAGACACGGUCCAGACUCCUACGGGAGGCAGCAGUGAGGAAUAUUGCACAAUGGGCGCAAGCCUGAUGCAGCGACGCCGCGUGGGUGAUGAAGGUUUUCGGAUCGUAAAGUCCUUUUCUAGAUGACGAGUAAGGACGGUAGUCUAGGAAUAAGUGUCGGCUAACUACGUGCCAGCAGCCGCGGUAAAACGUAGGACACAAGCGUUAUCCGGAGUUACUGGGCGUAAGGGCGUGUAGGCGGACCUGUAAGUCUAUUCUGAAAGCUCCUGGCUAAACUGGGAGAGGCGAAUGGAGACUGCAGAUCUAGAGUGAGGAAGAGGAAGGUGGAAUUCCGCGUGUAGUGGUGAAAUGCGUAGAGAUGCGGAGGAACACAAGUGGCGAAAGCGACUUUCUGGUCCUUAACUGACGCUGAGGCGCGAAAGCAUGGGGAGCGAACGGGAUUAGAAACCCCGGUAGUCCAUGCCAUAAACGAUGUUCACUAAACGUCGGCGGGGUUUAAAUCCGUCGGUGUUGAAGCCAACGCAGUAAGUGAACCGCCUGGGGAGUACGGUCGCAAGGCUAAAACUCAAAGGAAUUGACGGGGGACCGCACAAGCAGCGGAGCGUGUGGUUUAAUUCGAGGCUACACGAAGAACCUUACCUGGGUUUGACAUCGUGUUGAAGUGCCCAUGAAAGUGGGUAUGCCUCGCAAGAGGCAAUACGACAGGUGCUGCAUGGCUGUCGUCAGCUCUCGUGCCGUGAGGUGUUGGGUUAAGUUCGCAAACGAAACAACCCUCCCUG
rnacentral:rRNA from 1 species